rnacentral:rRNA from 1 species
UGGGGAAUAUUGCACAAUGGGGGGAAACCCUGAUGCAGCGACGCCGCGUGGGCGAGGAAGUACCUCGGUAUGUAAAGCCCUAUCAGCAGGGAAGAAACAAGACAGUACCUGACUAAGAAGCCCCGGCUAACUACGUGCC